GGACCUGCCAUUGGCCAAAGCUGAGCCACAGUUCUCCAGGUGUGGCCACACCAGUGCUGAGGGGAGGGGAAGGAUCAUUAGACUUUGCUACCACCCCAAGCAAGGUGGCUUCACCAGAGACUGUAAGAAGCAGAGGUAUUCCAGUCCACUGGCCCAUCAGACUGGCCCGUGAGGGAGAUGCCAGGCAACUGGCAGGAAACAGCAGAAGAGGAGGUCCUUAUAAACAUCCUGACCUCCCUGCAUUGGCCUGCAAAUGGAGAAAAGUGCUUACAGAUUUGCAAGCUCAUAACAACAUAACAAAGGAAUGGAACAUGAAGAAGAAAGCUAGCUUUGUUAUGAUAAAGGGAACCCAUUAGUGGUGAAUUUGACAGAGUAAUUAAAAAAUUAGAAUUCAAAAAAGGCAAGAGUCUUAAUUAAGAAUAAUAAAAAUAUUAUUAUAAUGCAACGUUAGCUAUACUUGAAAAAAAAAAUCCACCUUGGGCGUAAUGAGUUUACCUCAGAAUUAUCGAAGUGUAGCAUGUGGAAUAGCCUAGAUUGUUCAUCUUCCCUCAGAUGUAUGAGGUAUCUGGAAGUGGAUCACACAUACAGCGUUAACCGAAGGAGGGUUCACUAAGGACCUGUACAAAGACCUCUGGUAGUAUGCUCUGGGGACCCUGGCCGGGCCUGAAGAGGAGGAAGUGCAAUAGCUGAAGUUGCUGUUGAAAGCCACCGUCGCAGCAGCAGCAGCUCUUGGCUCUUUCCUGGAUGGCAUGCUGCUCGGCAAUGGUCUGUGUGCCACUAUUUGUGAAGCUCUAUCUAAAGAUUUCCAGUGCCUACUCGGCUGUUAGAUAAUCACAACUGUGCGAUUAUUUCUGCAACAUUCUCCCAUCUCUCUUCUUCUCCCAUAUGAAAAAAGACCAUUCCUAAAUGGACCAGAAAUAAAGAAAAGAUGAUGUGCAUUGC